rnacentral:tRNA from 1 species
GGCGACGUAGCCAAGCAGUCUAAGGCGGAGGUCUGCAACACCUCUAUUCGGCGGUUCGAAUCCGCCCGUCGCCUCCA